rnacentral:rRNA from 1 species
UACGGGGGGGGGUAAGCGUUGUUCGGAAUUACUGGGCGUAAAGGGCUCGUAGGCGGCCAACUAAGUCAGACGUGAAAUCCCUCAGCUUAACUGGGGAACUGCGUCUGAUACUGGAUGGCUUGGAUUCGGGAGAGGAAUGCGGAAUUCCAGGUGUAGCGGUGAAAUGCGUAGAUAUCGGAGGAACACCGGUGGCGAAGGCGGCAUCUGGACCGAUAUUGACGCUGAGGAGCGAAAGCCAGGGGAGCAAAGCGGG